rnacentral:rRNA from 1 species
GACGAACGCUGGCGGCGUGCUUAACACAUGCAAGUCGAACGAUGAAGAGAAGAAUUGAAGCUUCGGCAGAAAUUCAUUUCGGAUUAGUGGCAGACGGGUGAGUAACGCGUGAGCAACCUACCUCUUACAAAGGGAUAGCCUCGGGAAACCGGGAUUAAUACCAUAUAACAUUGCGACGAAGCAUUUCGAUGCAAUCAAAGCUACGGCGGUAAGAGAUGGGCUCGCGUCCCAUUAACCAGAUGGUGAGGUAACGGCUCACCAUAGUAACGAUGGGUAACCGGCCUGAGAGGGUGAACGGUCACACUGGAACUGAGACACGGUCCAGACUCCUACGGGAGGCAGCAGUGGGGAAUAUUGCACAAUGGAGGGAACUCUGAUGCAGCGACGCCGCGUGAGUGAUGAAGGAAUUCGUUUCGUAAAACUCUGUUCUAUGGGAAGAAAAGGACUGUACCAUAGGAGAAAGCUCCGGCUAAAUACGUG